rnacentral:rRNA from 1 species
CUUGGUCAUUUAGAGGAAGUAAAGUCGUAACAAGGUUUCCGUAGGUGACCCUGCGGAAGGAUCAUUA